UACGAAGGGGGCUAGCGUUGCUCGGAAUCACUGGGCGUAAAGGGUGCGUAGGCGGGUCUUUAAGUCGGGGGUGAAAUCCCAGGGCUCAACCCUGGAACUGCCUUCGAUACUAUUUUGCUAGAGUGUGGAAGAGGUUGGUGGAACUGCAAGUGUAGAGGUGAAAUUCGUAGAUAUUUGCAAGAACACCGGUGGCGAAGGCGGCCAACUGGUCCAUUACUGACGCUGAGAUGCGGAAGCGUGGGGAGCAAACAGG
rnacentral:rRNA from 1 species